ACGACCAUAGAAAUACCUAAAGCCGCGUUUGGCAAACACGGCCAUAGAAGCACCUAGAGCUGCGUUUAUAUGUAAAAACGUAGCUUUAGGCCUUGGUAUAUAUAUAAUCCCUAAUCCCUAUUCAGAUCGAUCUAUCACUCUCACUCUCAAACAAACCCUCGCUCUCUAUCACUCUCAACACCACGCCGCCAUCGCCGCCUUUGAUCGACGCCACCGCCGCCGCCGAGAAUCUCUUUCUCUCAGCCAUCAUAGGCCAUUAAUAAAAGUUUAUCAUCCCUAAGUGAUGUUAUAUUUGCAUUGGCAAAGAAGGAGGACCACAUACCCUUUAGAAACUCAAAGCUUACAUAUCUUCUUCAGCUUUUAUAUAUGGACCACCGCGCCGAGCAUGAGGGAAUGCUAGACGUUUGGUAAUUUCUCCUCCGACCAGAAGAAAAGAUCCUAUUGAAGCGGCCAAUCCCAUGCAUAUUGUCUGUACAUCUGGUUGUACAAAUUGCAUAGUAUCAUAAAUAGCCACUCCGGGUAUUACCCACCCCCCGGGAGAGUUUAUAAACAAAUACAGAUCUUUGCUAUCAUCCUCUAGACUGAGAUAUACCAUAAGACCAAUAAUUUGAUUCGAGAGAUCGCUAUCAACCUCUUGGCCUAAAAAAAGUAAUCUUGCUCGAUAAAGUCGGUUGAUUAGGAUAUAAUUGUAUCCUUAGGAACCGUACGCGCACCUUUUGAUGCAUACGGUUUACCAAAAAUCGCGCAAAAAAAAAAAAAGAAUCAAUGUGUAGAUUGCAGCCCUCAUUCUUUUUUAUUUUCAUAGGGGGCUCUUUCUAACUUCUAACAAAGGGCUUUUUUUCUUCCAUUUUUCAAGAAGGAUUUGUUUUGGCCUGUUUACUUUACCUAUAUAUAAAUAAAAUAUAUAUAUAAAUAAUUUACUAAACUUAUCGAAUGAACUUCUCAUUGAUGUAUUGUUUCAUCGAGAUCGAAUCCAAAUAAUGAUGCCAUUUUCUUGUUCCUGAAUAGGCUUUUUCAAUUUUUUUUAGGUUUAUGCUCUACUCCGAGUAAAGAUAGGCCCGAUUUUUAUUUGCACAUAUAGGGCAAAUGUCCCAAUACCACGUCUUUUUGCUAUGGCUUUUUUUUAUUUUUCAAUUUCAUUUAUUUCAUGUCUUCCACUAAAUAUUCAAUGUAUUCAUUAUAUUAAAUGUAUUCAUUAUAUUACUCGAUUGAUUAAACAGUUUGAGAUCGCUCCUGUUUAUAAAUAGAAUAUUAUAAAAGUAGUAAUCUUAGAUAUAUUACCAAUUGGGUUUUUUCUAAACGGAGCCUGGAUACUUCAUUUUUUUGGUCCAGUCGAGCCAACCAUAAAUUAUUCUAAUUGAUAAUAUUAAUCUGAUACCCCUACAAAAAAUAAAUAGGAUGAAAUUGUAUUUCACGCUCCAAACUUUUGAUAAUUCAAUCAAUCUUUUUUGGGCGAAAGAGGGGAUAUCUCGAUCAGGGGAGAGAAUGGGGAAAUUCCAUGUGACCCAAUAUAUCUGACAAGUCGCACUAUAUGUCAACCCACGAUGCAUCUUCCUCUCCAGGACUUCGAAAAGGUACUUUUGGAACACCAAUAGGCAUAAAAUGAAAGAAAAAAAAUUAAGUACUAUAUCUUACUUUGAUGUGGAAGCGUAACAACGGGUUUAUUGUCUUAAUAAGAUUAGCCUUUAUCAUAGUUUAUCCAUAAAUUGAAUAAGUUCAUAACAAUAACAUAAA